UACAGAGGUCUCAAGCGUUGUUCGGAUUCAUUGGGCGUAAAGGGUGCGUAGGUGGCGGGGUAAGUCAGGGUGUGAAAUUUCGGAGCUUAACUCCGAAAACUGCAUUUGAUACUGCCUUGCUUGAGGACUGGAGAGGAGACUGGAAUUCACGGUGUAGCAGUGAAAUGCGUAGAGAUCGUGAGGAAGACCAGUGGCGAAGGCGGGUCUCUGGACAGUUCCUGACACUGAGGCACGAAGGCCAAGGGGAGACAAACGGGG
rnacentral:rRNA from 1 species